UCUUUUCUCCGGCUCUUUCUUCAUCAAGAGAGGCUGGAGUUUCUGAACAAGAACUCCUCUGCUCAAGUCAAAGCUAUUCUUAGGAGCAUUGCAGUUUGUAUUAUGAGCUCAGCAGAUCCACAGUUCCACCAGAUGUUUGCUAACGGCUGCUGCUGCUAGUCUGGAGGAGCUGAGUGGGGGAGGUGCAGGUGAGUGGUGCUCCAUGUGGCUGAAGCUCCAAGUCAGAGUCUUUGGUAAAUAGGUGACCCAUGCUUUAAGGCACUCCCAAAUGGUUGCCAGGGGAAAUUCAAGGAUUUUUCAAACAUGCGUGAAUCAGUCAAAGCAACACUUUGUAUAUUUCUGAUGAGGCAGUAACGUUAUGACUUUGUCUAAAGCUAAAAAAAAUAUUUUAGCAUAACCCCACUUUAAAGCAGAUAACCUACAGACCUAUCAGUCAUCUCCAAUUGAUGACAAUGAGUUCACUGUACCAUAAUGCCUUCCAUAGUCACCAGAACUCAAUCAAGGCAGCAGGGGUCCAAUACAGUGUAAGCAAGGUGUACCUUAUAAAGUGGCCAAUGAUUCAACAUAGCUUUGUGGAAUGCUAUGUUGAAUCAUAUGUUAUAACAAGAAAUGUAAUAUUAAAAGUAAGACUAAAAGGACAUGUGUCUGAAAUUAUUUUGAAAAUAAAUCUUUUACAUUUUCUAUCAGUCAACAUUGACUUAUUAUUAAUUAUUCUAAGUGGAUUUGGACACAUUUCGUGCAAUGAUUCCACAUUUUCAUGGACAAAAGUUCAAGUUAAUUUCCCACAUGUCAGCUUCAUUAUUUCUGACAUGUGCACUUUUUACCCUUUUCAAAGACAUACAAUUUAUACUGCAGCCAGGUCUUCUUCGUGAAGAGCUCAAAGUGAAUGUCCAUCAAGAGAAAGACGUUCUAAAUUCACAUAGGAAAACAAAACCUUUUGAGUUGACAUAUCCUACUGGGACAGUGAUUAUGAGAGCGACUGCUUCAGGUGGGAUCUGACCCUGCUGUUUCCUCGUAAUAUACAGCACAGGUCCUCUUCUUUCUCAUCAGAUUUCCACUCUCAGUGCUAUCUGGACAGGAUCUUUGCCCCUACAGUCACAGGAAUCCAAGAGCGGUGGAAUAAAAUAGAGCCUGCCUUUUCGCACUCUUGCCAAAACAUCCUUCACCACAGCCAGCGUGAAAUCAUACUCCACAAACUCCGGCUUACAAGGUCACGGUCUCCCCUAAUGUGGAGCUGCUUCAAGAACUUCCAAAAUCAAACCAAAUAUUUAUAACAGACUUCCUCCCAUCGACUUCACAGCCUCGUACCACUUACACAUCGUCUGAGCUGAAGAUGCACCGAAAUGUUUCUUUCUGGAUUAGUUCCAGCUUUCCAGACUUCAAAUAGCUUAAUAACACGUGUCUUUCUGCAAAUAGCAGAAUUAAGUGAAAAACGUCUGCGAUGGAAAAGUAAGCAGCCCAUUAUAUUUUAUGGAAAACACGCAGAUAUUUUAAACCACUGCUAUUACAGUGCAGAGUGCAGCGAAUUCAAAACCUGCGUAUUGUGCACUACUCUAAAACUAAUUGCGAUACAUGUGAAGCGGUGUUGGAUUUAAUUAUCUUUGCUGCAUGUGGCAUCUCUAAAUUUCUUUAUGGGACUUCUUUAAUGCUUUGUCUUUGAAAUAAUCUGUGAAAAUUUCUUCUCAGUUCUUCCUAUUAAGUGUUUGUGGCUUUCUUCUUCUAGCUCUAUCUAGAUGAGGCACCAGUGAUGGAGCUCUUAAAUGACCACGAAUCUGGCUGUGCACCAAGCGUUUCAAAGCUUCUCGGCAGACGCAUCAACUUUCACUUGGCAGAAUUUGUAUGUUUGCAGUGUGCUAUAAUGCACCUCCAUUUCUUACUAGCGAAUAAAUAUACCCCAAUCUG